CCUGACUGUGCAAAGGUAGCAUAAUAAUUUGCCUUUUAAUUGGAGGAUAGAAUGAAUGAUUCGACGAAGAUAUAGCUGUCUUAUUUAUAUUUAUUAAAAGUUAAUUUUUAGGUUAAAAAGCCUAAAUAAAAUUAAAGGACGAGAAGACCCUGUUAAGCUUUAAAAACCUUAUUAGCUAUUACUAUAACAUAAAUUGUAACACUAACAAAAGAAUUUUAGUUGGGGCGACUUGGGAGCAAUAUAAACCUCCUUGGGUUAUAUAUAUUUUAAUUAAGGUCCAAUGAUUUUGAACUAAAAACAAGUUACUACAGGGAUAACAGCGUAAUUUCAGUUGAGAGUACUAAUCGAAAAUGAAGUUUGCGACCUCGAUGUUGGAUUAGGGGCAAUAAAGGUUGCAGAAGCUUUUAUAAUUAGUCUGUUCGACUAACAAUACCCUACAUGAUCUGAGUUCAAACCGGA
rnacentral:rRNA from 1 species